CCCAGGCUCUGUCUGCCCCAGCCACACUCACACACGUUCAGUUAUUUCCUUGCAUGCGCCAUGUUCUUUUCUUCCCUUGGAAUCUUUUUUUUUACAGGCUAUUUCUUCACUAAACAUAUGCCCCUCCCUCUUAGUUCUGGAACUCUACUUCAUCCCUCAUAUGAAAAUCUAUUUCAGUGGAGACACAGAAGAACACAAACCACAAAGAAAACUAUAAUUCCGGUCGCAUGAAACUCUUCUGCAUCAAAACACACCAUAAAAAUGAAAAGGAGACAGGGUAAGAUUGAAAAGACAUCCCAAAAGACAAGACAAUUCAUAGCUUGAAGACAAAACAGCUCCAUAUCUCUGAGAUGAGCACAAAAUUUAACCAGCAGUGAAUGCCAAGAGGCCUUUCAGCAAAUGUAUAGGACCAUUUUCUCUGCGUCAAGAGAGUUGGAACAUCCUAAAGGUUAGUAAAAAACUCACAAGGUGGGAAGCUGACUUGACUGUAAACAGAAGAAAACAAGUGUGUCCCCAAGUUGUGGUUGAACAGCAUGUAUCUGCCUAAUGAGGAGACAAGAGGAUCAGAUGGAGCUGAGAGGAUUUACCCUCCCAAGCUCUGUCCCUCCCAAGCUCUGUUGUC